UCCCUGGUGGCUCAGAGGGUAAAGCAUCUGUCUACAAUGCAAAGAGACCCAGGUUCGAGCCCUGGGUUGGGAA
rnacentral:tRNA from 1 species